GAUGAACGCUGGCGGCGUGCCUAACACAUGCAAGUCGAGCGGAGAAUUGUUGCUUGCAACCCUUCUUAGCGGCGGACGGGUGAGUAACACGUGGGUAACCUGCCCUAAACAAGGGGAUAACAAUGAGAAAUCAUUGCUAAUACCGUAUAAGCUUACACUAUCGCAUGAUAGAGUAAGAAAAGAUUUAUCGGUUUAGGAGGGGCCCGCGUCUGAUUAGCUAGUUGGAGAGGUAACGGCUCACCAAGGCGACGAUCAGUAGCCGACCUGAGAGGGUGAUCGGCCACAGUGGGACUGAGACACGGCCCAAACUCCUACGGGAGGCAGCAGUGGGGAAUAUUGCACAAUGGAGGAAACUCUGAUGCAGCAACGCCGCGUGAAGGAAGAAGGUUUUCGGAUCGUAAACUUCUAUCUACAGGGAAGAAAAAAAUGACGGUACCUGAGUAAGAAGCCCCGGCUAACUACGUG
rnacentral:rRNA from 1 species